ensembl:lncRNA
AGACUAAUCCCCCACAGUGACAAUGUUUGAGUGUGGCAGUGAUACGAGGAAAGGUGAAUGCCUGGGAGACAGAAGACUUCGCUGACGAUCACCUUUGGCUUGAAGACUCCCAAACUGCCUUUCCCAAUCUUCCUAUUCCCAUCCUCUCUCUUUCACUCAAAGUCAGACUUGCUUUCAGCUCAGGUGGGUCUCCUAGCCUCACCCAGAUCCUGCCCCAUAUUCCCUCACACAGGUAUUCCUCCUAACGCAAUCCUUUUCCAUUUAAUCACAUCUGGUCUGCUUCUCCAAGGAUCCAUCUUGGAGUCUCCUUAUCAGGGAAUCCAAACGAACCCGGUAUCCUUUUAUUUAAGCUUUUCCAUCCAAGAAGGCAUGCCUGUUUUUUCAAAGUAGGAGCUGUUUUUCAUCAAAUGAGAAGUUAAGGCUCCACCAACUCAGGAAGAGGGGAAAAAAAUGCCUGUAUCUUUCAAACGGCUCUUUUUUCUCCCUUCUAGGGCCGUGACUGUUUUAGAUAUUAUUAGGGUCCAGUUUCAGUGAAAGCAUAAGCCACCCAAUGUAUUGUUAUAUCUUCACAGUCAGAAGGGAUGUCUGCCUGUGUAUAAUGGAUGUAUGUAACUCUUUUUGGAUCCUCUUCAGGACAAAAAGGGAAAAAGAUAGAUCCAAUUCACGGACAUCCCAGUUCAUGUGGCAGCAGGUGGGAUUCUUACUGGCUGAGAGUGGUUCUUAAAACAACGCCCAGUGAUUAAAACCCACAGCUGAGGUGCAGAAGGCCCCCAGGAAUUGAACUCACAACUCAUUCAGUGCCGAUAGUAGAAGACUAUUUACGACAGAAACAACGAGUUUCCUCCAAACGGCGGGGUCGCUGUCGGUGGUCCUCACAUUCCUUUGGAGGAGCAAUUCUAGUUGGGAUUCGAGAAAGCAAAGGUGCCUGGACUAAAUACAUCCUCCUGAAUCAUACCCUCCAUCUGGGUUCCCUAGAAAAAGCUGGAUGUGUAAAAGGAACAUUUACAGCCGAUGCAGCUUUUCCACAGCUGAGGUAUCCAUUUGACUCACGACCAGGGCACAUUGGAAUGGCUAUGAAUGUCUCUAUGAACCUCAAAACCUCCAGUUGUAAAGAUGAAAUUAUAUGGAGUGUCCUACUUGAAACGUUGUCAUAGUGUGGAAUAGAUCAUCCUUAGCUUCCACAUCUGAUAUUCCUCAAAAGUAGGGAAAAAUGUGCUGAGAUGGAAAAGAAAUCAAGUAGAUUUCCAUGGAGGCAUUUUUAAAGGCAUCUUCUUAGAAGGACAAUGUAAUGGUGACGUAGAAAUUUCCCAUGAAUUAUCAGAACAAAAAGACCUCUGAUUAUUAUCCAGACUCAGGCUGUGCAGGGGAUGGAAUGUUCAAGAUUUACCGUGAAGCUCCUCUUUUCAGCUUUGCCAACACUUUGAUCCUGGCAUCAGAAAUGAGUUGAUUGGUUACGUAAACUUGGAUAUAAUAUUUCCGCAAAGCAAAUGGAAACUUUCUCAGUAAUACUUUUUGUUUUGAAGAUUGUGACUUUUAUUUAAAAUAUUCAAUUUUGCUGAUGUAUUGUAAGAACUCAGUUAAAUUAUGGAGGGAUUCGUUUAAAGUCAGCAACCUCUUUAUAUUAAUGCUGCCAAAUAUCCUUUAACUGAAAAGAGUGCUCAGAGGCAGCAGAAAAUUUAAAGCUCAAUUAACACUGAGGGAUUAUAUUGUUCAAUCAUUUCAGCUCCACUAUGUGGUAUACCAUAAUACUGGAAAGAGUGUAUAUCCUAGUGGCUAAGAGCACAGGAUUUAGAAAAAAUAAAAUGGUGUGACUACUGUCUCCUUGGACAGGUCUUAACUUCUUGUACUAUCCAUUUUCUUCUCUGCGAAAUGAGUAAAGUGGUGUUGCUCUCAUGUGAUGGCUUUGUGGAGAAAACCAUGUGUUCAGCUUGGAACUCUGUUGCCAUGUAAUUAAUGCCUCAAAUAAUGCUGAUUUCUGGGGAACAUAAAUGCUUUUUUUUAUUUAAAAAAUAUUUUUUGUAAUUAUAUGAUAGUUUCUUUUUAAAUUAACCCUUUUUUUAAGAGCAGUUUUAAGUUCACAGCAAAAUUGGGGGGAAAGUACAGAGUUCUCAUACACCCCCUGCCCCACGCGUGCACUGCCUCCCCCAUUAUCAACAUCCCCACCAGAGGGUACAUCUUUUACCAAGGAUGAAUCUACAUUGACAAAGUCCCUAGUUUACGUUAGGGUUCACUCUCAGUGUUGUACUUUUUAUGGGUUUGGACGGAUGUAUAAUGACACGUAUCCAUCAUUAUAGCAUCAUACAGAGUGUUUUCACUGCCCUAAAUUUCCUCCGUGUUCUACCUGUUCAUCCCUCCUCCCCCCCAACUCCUGGAAGCCACCCAUCUCUCUACUUUCUUCCUGGUUUUGCCCUUUGCAGAAUGUCAUAGAGUUGAAAUCAUACAGUAUGUAGUCUUUUCAGACUGGUUUCUUUCAUUUAGUCAUAUGCAUUUGAGGUUCCUCUAUGUCUUAAUGGCUCAUAGCUCUUUUCUUUUUAGCACUGAAUAAUAUUCCAU